CCAGUAAGGGCGACUGAACGGGGAGGAGCCCAGCGCGGAACCUCGCGCGCCUCACCGGCCGCGCCUGAGGAAUGUCGCGUUUCGGAGGGGCCUUCUCCGACCACACCGACCCCCCCCAAGUCCGCUUGAACGCGGCCACUACCCAGGGAGGGUGCGAGGCCCGUACGGGGAUUAGGAGUCGGGCGGUCGGACGGUCCCGUCCGUAGAGUCGGGUUGCCUACUAACGCAGCCCAAAGCAGGUGGUAAACUCC
rnacentral:rRNA from 1 species